AUAAUCAUGGAGUAUAAUAAUUAAAUUUAAUAAAUUUAAUAUAACUAUUAAUAGAAUUAGGUUACUAAUAAAUUAAUAACAAUUAAUUUUAAAACCUAAAGGUAAACCUUUAUAUUAAUAAUGUUAUUUUUUAUUAUAUUUAUAAUAAGAAUAAUUAUUAAUAAUAAUAAACUAAGUGAACUGAAACAUCUAAGUAACUUAAGGAUAAGAAAUCAACAGAGAUAUUAUGAGUAUUGGUGAGAGAAAAUAAUAAAGGUCUAAUAAGUAUUAUGUGAAAAAAAUGUAAGAAAAUAGGAUAACAAAUUCUAAGACUAAAUACUAUUAAUAAGUAUAGUAAGUACCGUAAGGGAAAGUAUGAAAAUGAUUAUUUUAUAAGCAAUCAUGAAUAUAUUAUAUUAUAUUAAUGAUGUACCUUUUGUAUAAUGGGUCAGCAAGUAAUUAAUAUUAGUAAAACAAUAAGUUAUAAAUAAAUAGAAUAAUAUAUAUAUAUAUAAAAAUAUAUUAAAAUAUUUAAUUAAUAUUAAUUGACCCGAAAGCAAACGAUCUAACUAUGAUAAGAUGGAUAAACGAUCGAACAGGUUGAUGUUGCAAUAUCAUCUGAUUAAUUGUGGUUAGUAGUGAAAGACAAAUCUGGUUUGCAGAUAGCUGGUUUUCUAUGAAAUAUAUGUAAGUAUAGCCUUUAUAAAUAAUAAUUAUUAUAUAAUAUUAUAUUAAUAUUAUAUAAAGAAUGGUACAGCAAUUAAUAUAUAUUAGGGAACUAUUAAAGUUUUAUUAAUAAUAUUAAAUCUCGAAAUAUUUAAUUAUAUAUAAUAAAGAGUCAGAUUAUGUGCGAUAAGGUAAAUAAUCUAAAGGGAAACAGCCCAGAUUAAGAUAUAAAGUUCCUAAUAAAUAAUAAGUGAAAUAAAUAUUAAAAUAUUAUAAUAUAAUCAGUUAAUGGGUUUGACAAUAACCAUUUUUUAAUGAACAUGUAACAAUGCACUGAUUUAUAAUAAAUAAAAAAAAAUAAUAUUUAAAAUCAAAUAUAUAUAUAUUUGUUAAUAGAUAAUAUACGGAUCUUAAUAAUAAGAAUUAUUUAAUUCCUAAUAUGGAAUAUUAUAUUUUUAUAAUAAAAAUAUAAAUACUGAAUAUCUAAAUAUUAUUAUUACUUUUUUUUUAAUAAUAAUAAUAUGGUAAUAGAACAUUUAAUGAUAAUAUAUAUUAGUUAUUAAUUAAUAUAUGUAUUAAUUAAAUAGAGAAUGCUGACAUGAGUAACGAAAAAAAGGUAUAAACCUUUUCACCUAAAACAUAAGGUUUAACUAUAAAAGUACGGCCCCUAAUUAAAUUAAUAAGAAUAUAAAUAUAUUUAAGAUGGGAUAAUCUAUAUUAAUAAAAAUUUAUCUUAAAAUAUAUAUAUUAUUAAUAAUUAUAUUAAUAAUAUAUAUAAUUAUAUUAUAUAUUUUUUUUUUUAUAUAAUAUAAACUAAUAAAGAUCAGGAAAUAAUUAAUGUAUACCGUAAUGUAGACCGACUCAGGUAUGUAAGUAGAGAAUAUGAAGGUGAAUUAGAUAAUUAAAGGGAAGGAACUCGGCAAAGAUAGCUCAUAAGUUAGUCAAUAAAGAGUAAUAAGAACAAAGUUGUACAACUGUUUACUAAAAACACCGCACUUUGCAGAAACGAUAAGUUUAAGUAUAAGGUGUGAACUCUGCUCCAUGCUUAAUAUAUAAAUAAAAUUAUUUAACGAUAAUUUUAUUAAAUUUAGGUAAAUAGCAGCCUUAUUAUGAGGGUUAUAAUGUAGCGAAAUUCCUUGGCCUAUAAUUGAGGUCCCGCAUGAAUGACGUAAUGAUACAACAACUGUCUCCCCUUUAAGCUAAGUGAAAUUGAAAUCGUAGUGAAGAUGCUAUGUACCUUCAGCAAGACGGAAAGACCCUAUGCAGCUUUACUGUAAUUAGAUAGAUCGAAUUAUUGUUUAUUAUAUUCAGCAUAUUAAGUAAUCCUAUUAUUAGGUAAUCGUUUAGAUAUUAAUGAGAUACUUAUUAUAAUAUAAUGAUAAUUCUAAUCUUAUAAAUAAUUAUUAUUAUUAUUAUUAAUAAUAAUAAUAUGCUUUCAAGCAUAGUGAUAAAACAUAUUUAUAUGAUAAUCACUUUACUUAAUAGAUAUAAUUCUUAAGUAAUAUAUAAUAUAUAUUUUAUAUAUAUUAUAUAUAAUAUAAGAGACAAUCUCUAAUUGGUAGUUUUGAUGGGGCGUCAUUAUCAGCAAAAGUAUCUGAAUAAGUCCAUAAAUAAAUAUAUAAAAUUAUUGAAUAAAAAAAAUAAUAUAUAUUAUAUAUAUUAAUUAUAAAUUGAAAUAUGUUUAUAUAAAUUUAUAUUUAUUGAAUAUAUUUUAGUAAUAGAUAAAAAUAUGUACAGUAAAAUUGUAAGGAAAACAAUAAUAACUUUCUCCUCUCUCGGUGGGGGUUCACACCUAUUUUUAAUAGGUGUUCACCCCUCUUCGGGGUUCCGGUUCCCUUUCGGGUCCCGGAACUUAAAUAAAAAUGGAAAGAAUUAAAUUAAUAUAAUGGUAUAACUGUGCGAUAAUUGUAACACAAACGAGUGAAACAAGUACGUAAGUAUGGCAUAAUGAACAAAUAACACUGAUUGUAAAGGUUAUUGAUAACGAAUAAAAGUUACGCUAGGGAUAACAGGGUAAUAUAACGAAAGAGUAGAUAUUGUAAGUUAUGUUUGCCACCUCGAUGUCGACUCAACAUUUCCUCUUGGUUGUAAAAGCUAAGAAGGGUUUGACUGUUCGUCAAUUAAAAUGUUACGUGAGUUGGGUUAAAUACGAUGUGAAUCAGUAUGGUUCCUAUCUGCUGAAGGAAAUAUUAUCAAAUUAAAUCUCAUUAUUAGUACGCAAGGACCAUAAUGAAUCAACCCAUGGUGUAUCUAUUGAUAAUAAUAUAAUAUAUUUAAUAAAAAUAAUACUUUAUUAAUAUAUUAUCUAUAUUAGUUUAUAUUUUAAUUAUAUAUUAUCAUAGUAGAUAAGCUAAGUUGAUAAUAAAUAAAUAUUGAAUACAUAUUAAAUAUGAAGUUGUUUUAAUAAGAUAAUUAAUCUGAUAAUUUUAUACUAAAAUUAAUAAUUAUAGGUUUUAUAUAUUAUUUAUAAAUAAAUAUAUUAUAAUAAUAAUAAUUAUUAUUAUUAAUAAAAAAUAU
rnacentral:rRNA from 1 species